rnacentral:rRNA from 1 species
CUUCGGGGUGGAUUAGUGGCGAACGGGUGAGUAACACGUGGGCAAUCUGCCCUUCACUCUGGGACAAGCCCUGGAAACGGGGUCUAAUACCGGAUAACACUUCUUCGGGCAUCUGAAGAGGUUAAAAGCUCCGGCGGUGAAGGAUGAGCCCGCGGCCUAUCAGCUUGUUGGUGGGGUAAUGGCCUACCAAGGCGACGACGGGUAGCCGGCCUGAGAGGGCGACCGGCCACACUGGGACUGAGACACGGCCCAGACUCCUACGGGAGGCAGCAGUGGGGAAUAUUGCACAAUGGGCGAAAGCCUGAUGCAGCGACGCCGCGUGAGGGAUGACGGCCUUCGGGUUGUAAACCUCUUUCAGCAGGGAAGAAGCGAAAGUGACGGUACCUGCAGAAGAAGCGCCGGCUAACUACGUGCCAGCAGCCGCGGUAAUACGUAGGGCGCAAGCGUUGUCCGGAAUUAUUGGGCGUAAAGAGCUCGUAGGCGGCUUGUCGCGUCGGAUGUGAAAGCCCGGGGCUUAACCCCGGGUCUGCAUUCGAUACGGGCAGGCUAGAGUGUGGUAGGGGAGAUCGGAAUUCCUGGUGUAGCGGUGAAAUGCGCAGAUAUCAGGAGGAACACCGGUGGCGAAGGCGGAUCUCUGGGCCAUUACUGACGCUGAGGAGCGAAAGCGUGGGGAGCGAACAGGAUUAGAUACCCUGGUAGUCCACGCCGUAAACGUUGGGAACUAGGUGUUGGCGACAUUCCACGUCGUCGGUGCCGCAGCUAACGCAU